CGUGUAGGCGGAAUGUUAAGUCUGGCGUGAAAGCUCUCGGCUAAACCGGGAGAGGUCGUUGGAUACUGGCAAACUAGAGGGUGGUAGAGGCGUGUGGAAUUCCGGGUGUAGUGGUGAAAUGCGUAGAGAUCCGGAGGAACACCAGUGGCGAAGGCGACACGCUGGGCCACACCUGACGCUAAAGCGCGACAGCAUGGGGGAGCAAACG
rnacentral:rRNA from 1 species